rnacentral:rRNA from 1 species
UACAGAGGUCUCAAGCGUUGUCCGGAAUUAUUGGGCGUAAAGAGCUCGUAGGCGGUCUGUUGCGUCUGCUGUGAAAACUCGGGGCUUAACCCCGAGCCUGCAGUGGAUACGGGCAGACUAGAGGUAGGUAGGGGAGAAUGGAAUUCCCGGUGUAGCGGUGAAAUGCGCAGAUAUCGGGAGGAACACCGGUGGCGAAGGCGGUUCUCUGGGCCUUACCUGACGCUGAGGAGCGAAAGCGUGGGGAGCGAACAGG